rnacentral:misc_RNA from 1 species
GAUGAAGAACGCAGCGAAACGCGAUAUGUAAUGUGAAUUGCAGAAUUCAGUGAAUCAUCGAAUCUUUGAACGCACAUGGCGCCUUCCAGUAUCCUGGGAGGCAUGCCUGUCCGAGCGUCGUUUCAACCCUCGAGCCCCCGUGGCCCGGCGUUGGGGAUCUGCCCAGGCAGUCCCCGAAAACCAGUGGCGGACCCGUUACAGGCCCUUCCCUUGCGUAGUAGCAUUCGCCUCGCAUCGGGAGCCGGCGGGCUUCCAGCCUCUAAACCCCCAUCAAGUCCGCUCCGGCGGCACCAAGGUUGACCUCGGAUCAGGUAGGAAUACCCGCUGAACUUAAGCAUAUCAAUAAGCGGAGGA